rnacentral:rRNA from 1 species
AAGCGCAAGUCGCCAACAGACUUACCGGAGGAGCUGGUUUUCGAGAUUCUCGCCCGUCUGCCGGUCAAGUCCCUUCUCCGGUUCAAAUCUCUGAGCAAGGCCUGGCGCGCGGCCAUCUCCGGCCCCGCGUUCACCCGCGCGCACCUGGAGCACUCGGCCUCAAAAUGGGAGCAGAGCCCAUCGCUGCUGAUCACCCCGCACGCCCUCGACGGCGCCAUCGAAGGGGAGGUCUGGCCGACCACCUUCUCCACGCGAGUCCGGUUCUACCGCUGGCAUCCAUGCCGCGCCUCGGAGGUGGCGAGGCUCGUGCACGGCGAGGACUUCCGCGGGGAGUUCGGCUGCGUGUGCCACAUGGUCCACUGCGACGGCCUGGUGCUCCCCACCAACGCCAGCGUCUACCUCUUCAACCCGGCCACCAGGGACGCCCUGACGCUGCCGGAGAGCAACCCCAGCAAGGUCCCCGUGCCGCGUGAUUUCUGCCUCCCCGUGGGGCUCGGGCUGGACCCUCGCUCCGGCCGGUACAAGGUGGCCCGGGCCUUCUUCCGCUACGUGGAGCCUCUCACGUACGCUUUCCACAUGGGGAUGCAAGUGUACACCGUCGGCGACGCGGCCGCCUGCUGGAGGGAAACCGCCACCGAUCCGCCUUACCCGCCGGCCGAGUGGCUGACGGUCAAAUCGGUCAAGGGGCGCAUGUUCUGGGUCAUGGACACGGACCAUGUCAAGACGCCGUGCCCGCGCGGCCUUCUCCGAUUCAGCCUGGAAGACGAGACGUUUGGCGUCACCGGCAUGCCCGAUUCGUUGGACCCUGCUCUCGGUAAAUCCUUCCUGCUGGAGGUGGUGCGAGGGGAGCUUUGCCUGGUCGCUUCUAGCAGCGCGAGGCCCGGCCCGCAGCCUGUGUCCAUUUGGACGCUGGUACUACAAGAUGAUGAUGAUGACAUGAACUCGUGUUGGGAGCGGCGUUACUUGAUCAACAUGGAUCCAAUUGGCCGUCCAAUUACUCUUCUUACGGGCGAUGGGCUACUGUUCCAUGCGCAUCACAUUCUCUACCGCUAUGGGCUGCGCACAGCUGAGCUGACGGAGGUGUGCGAGUUGGGAGCUCUGAGAUACCAGCGUCGUAGAGCUGGCACCUUCGAGCCUCAUGCCCAGGAUAUCUUCUUCUUCAACGUAAUACCUAACGUGGAAAGUAUGGUUAGACUUAUUGCUUAG